CCUACGGGAGGCAGCAGUAGGGAAUAUUGCUCAAUGGGGGAAACCCUGAAGCAGCAACGCCGCGUGGAGGAUGAAGGUUUUCGGAUUGUAACCUCCUUUUGUUAGAGAAGAUAAUGACGGUAUCUAACGAGUAAGCACCUGAUAACUCCGUGCCAGCAGCCGCGGGAAUACGGAGGGUGCACGCGUUACUCGGAAGUACUGGGCGUAAAGAGCGCGUAGGCGGGAUAGCAAGUCAGAUGUGAAAUCCUAUGGCUUAACCAUAGAACUGCAUUUGAAACUGUUAGUCUAGAGUAUGGGAGAGGAAGGUGGAAUUCUUGGUGUAGGGGUAAAAUCCGUAGAGAUCAAGAGGAAUACUCAGUGCGAAGGCGACCUGCUAGAACAUAACUGACGCUGAUGCGCGAAAGCGUGGGGAGCAAACAGGAUUAGAUACCCCUGUAGUC
rnacentral:rRNA from 1 species